CUAUUAAACUGAACCAGUCAACUGAGCCAGAAUGGGGCCUACUGAACUGAACCAGUCAAUUGAGCCAGAAUGGGGCCUACUGAACUGAACCAGUCAAUUGAGCCAGAAUGGGGCUAAUGAACUGAACCAGUCAACUGAGCCAGAAUGGGGCCUACUGAACUGAACCAGUCAACUGAGCCAGAAUGGGGCCUACUGAACUGAACCAGUUAAUUGAGCCAGAAUGGGGCUAAUGAACUGAACCAGUCAAUUGAGCCAGAAUGGAGCCUACUGAACUUGGAGGUAGGAGCUGUUCAGCAGUCUCAUGGCUUGGAGGUAGGAGCUGUUCAGCAGUCUCAUGGCUUGGAGGUAGGAGCUGUUCAGCAGUCUCAUGGCUUGGAGGUAGGAGCUGUUCAGCAGUCUCAUGGCUUGGAGGUAGGAGCUGUUCAGCAGUCUCAUGGCUUGGAGGUAGGAGCUGUUCAGCAGUCUCAUGGCUUGGAGGUAGGAGCUGUUCAGCAGUCUCAUGGCUUGGAGGUAGGAGCUGUUCAGCAGUCUCAUGGCUUGGAGGUAGGAGCUGUUCAGCAGUCUCAUGGCUUGGAGGUAGGAGCUGUUCAGCAGUCUCAUGGCUUGGAGGUAGGAGCUGUUCAGCAGUCUCAUGGCUUGGAGGUAGGAGCUGUUCAGCAGUCUCAUGGCUUGGAGGUAGGAGCUGUUCAGCAGUCUCAUGGCUUGGAGGUAGGAGCUGUUCAGCAGUCUCAUGGCUUGGAGGUAGGAGCUGUUCAGCAGUCUCAUGGCUUGGAGGUAGGAGCUGUUCAGCAAUCUCAUGGCUUGGAGGUAGGAGCUGUUCAGCAAUCUCAUGGCUUGGAGGUAGGAGCCUUUUGGAACUAGACUUGGCGCUCCGGUACCGCUUGCCGUGCGGUAGCAGAAAGAACAGUCUACGACGAGGGUGGCUGGAGUCUUUCAAAGUUUUUAGAGCCUUCCUCUGACACCGCCUGGUUUAGAGGUUCUGGAUGGCAGGAAGCUUGGCCCCAGUGACGUACUGGGCCGUAUCCACUACCCUCUACUGCCGAGCAGUUGCCAUACUAAGUGGUGUCGCAACCAGUCAGGAUGUUCUCGGUGGUGCAGCUGUAGAACAUUUUUAGGACCUGAGGCCCGUGCCAAAUAUUUUCAGCCUCCCGAGGGAGACUAGGCGUUAUUGAUGUAGACACCAAAGAACUUGAAGCUCUCGACCCGCUCCACUACA